UUUAAGCAUAUCACUCAGUGGAGGAAAUGCAAGCAACCGCGAUUGCUGGAGUAACGGCGAGUGAACGGGCAGGAACAACACAUCAUGGCUCUCCCCGAAUGGGAAUUCCCACUACGCCCCGCGCGCCCCCAGAGCGGGGGCCGCGGCGGUGGUCGGCUACCAUGGAUUUCAACAGAUGCUGUGGGCUGUGGAGGGGGCGGCCGCGCCAUCGGCGGCCGGGGCACCGGGAAGAGCCCUGGAAUGGGCCACGACAGAGGGACACGGUCCCCUACAGUCGGGUGUGUGCCCCGGUCCGUCGCGGCGCUGGCCGCCCCCGUCCAGGAGUAGAGUGGCUUGGGACUGCAGUUUGAAGUGUGAUGUGUAUCCAUCACAAGGAAGCAUACAGACCUGGAACCGAUAGCGCACAAGUAGAGUGAUCGAAGGAUGCAAAGGACUCCGCGAGGAGGGUUAAAAGUCCCUGAAGCCUCGGCAGGCAGAGCGGUCAGCGGUGCUGUGGAUUCUCCAACCAGGCGGCCUUGGGCCAGCCCUGGGCCGGUCACUGAGCCCUUGCCUAACGGCGGGGACGUAGUCGUGACGGCCCCUCGUAAGGGUGGCACCCUGCUUGCCAGGGCCUGAGGUUUGCAGUGAUUUCCCGAAGGGCAGAGCGGAGGCCCCGGUGCGGGAGGCGUGUCGUGCGCGCGAGGCCAGCGAGCGGGUGUGUGUCGCGGGGGGCAACCCCCAAGGCGUGGUGACCACAGCGGCGCCGUCGGCGUGCCCUCGGGCGCGACGAUAUGCUGCCUCGGUGUGCACGCCCUUCACCCCCGGCCGCCCCUCCGUGCGCGCGCCCUCUCCACCGCCCUCCGCGCAGUUCGGUACAAAGUUGUGCGCCCCUUCCAAACCCCGUGCGUCUCCGGACGUGCGGGUCGCCGUGGCUCCCCGCCUCUGGUUCGAGGCCCGGCGGCGUCGCGGGGACUGCACCCUCCUCCGAGGGUGGUCCCCGCUCGUCCGCUGGCCUCCCAGACGGAGCCCGGUGCCGACGGCAGCAGAGCCUGGCCUCACGCCAGUGCCGCUGUCUGCCCGUCUCGAAACACGGACCAAGGAGUCUAUGGAGCGUGCGAGUUGCACAGUGACCUGGAUCUGAAACUGCAGUGUGUGGUGAAGGCAACAGCGUUCCCGACGGGACGCCCGCGCCGACCCUCCUCUCGGGGGGGGGAAGGGGCGGGCUCGGUCUGCAUGGAAUUACCGGAUCCGAAGUCCAGUGGACAGGGUUUUGAGUGCUUGCGCGGUCCAAGGGACCCGAAAGGUGGUGAACUAUACCGUUCUACGACGAAGCCAUGGGAAACUGUGGUGGAAGUCGGUCGCUGUUCUGACGUGCAAAUCGUGUAGCCUGAGCGCGGCAUAGGGGUGAAAGGCCAAUCGAGCCACCUAGUAGCUGGUUCCCUUCGAAGUUUCCCUCAGGAUAGCUGGGCUCAGAUGCAAGCCAAUCCUGCAGUGGUUACGUSCGGUAAAGCAACGCAUGAGAGGCCAAACCGUGGGAAGACCCUUCUUCUCAACCUAUUCUCGAACUGUGAAUGGGCGUGAACAACACCGAGUCAAGGCAUGCUUCUUCACCACGCCAGGAGGCCGUCCCACGACGGUUCUUCCAGGCUUCUGAGCGUGUUUGUCCGGCAGAGAGAGUUCCUUUGGGGGCCCGCAGUACCCCCACCCCCCCCGCCCUCGCGGUGGGGGCAGACCCUCGUGUGGGCGAAGCGAAGUGGAGUGUGAGGCGCGAAAGGGGAGCGCGCAUGCGUGGGCGCCUUGUCCCCACCCCCAUUGGCUGUGCCGCUCCGUGCGGCCMCCGGUGGCGGUGUGCGGGGCGGCGAUAGGGCCCGCGUGUGCGAGGUCGCGGUACGGGGUUCCACCCUCCCAGGGGGUGGCGCGCCCCGUGCUGUGCCGCCGUCCCCCUCGGUCGCCGAAACUCCGCGCCCGCGCUGUGGGUGCCUGGGGUCGCUGUUGGUCCCCCCAGAGGGCCGGCCGCCCCUCCUCUCCCCCCCUCCCCUCGCGCGCUCCAGGGCGUGCGUGGUGGAGGGUGCGUGUGGCCCCCGGGCCGAGCGAGUGAGACAGAGUUCCGAGCUGGCGCGGCCGCCAUCCUGCCAAUUGUUGAACAAAAGUGCCUAUGUGGACCAUGACUGGUAAGCAGUGCUGGUGAUGCGGGAUGCUCCGAGAGUGGACUUACAGAUCCCGAGUGUUGGCUCAUACUCAGAUCCCACAAAGGAUGUCGCUUGCUCUGGAUAGCAGGACGGUGGCCAUGAAGGUUGGAAYCCGCUGAGGAAUGUGUAACAACUCACCUGCCGAAGCGUGCAGCUCCGAAAAUGGAUGGUGCCCAAGUCAAUGAAGCUCCCUCACAGUCCACCGUCGCUGUGGCAGCCUCAGCAGAGCAUCGUCGUGUAGAAAGGGCAUGGGAGAUUGCAGAGCCUGCCGGGGUCACCCCUGGCUCGAGUGUCUUCCGGAGCAGAUCUUGGUUGCAGUAGCGAGUACUCCAUCGGGUGAAGAGCAGUGUACCAAACAACCCUGCUGUGUGCGGUUGAGGACUGGAGUGGAGCAGGUUUCCACACCCAACAGCCGUUGAAUGUGGGUCAACCGACCGUGAGCCAAGUGGUAAGUUCACUGAACAACCAAAGCUGCUGCGACGAAGGGGGCUCGAGGAGGGCGAGCGAGAGAGGGGUGGAAGGGGACACACCGGGUCGAUUCGGCCCACCAUUGGCACAAGAACAACAGCCGGAGCGCGGCGGAAAAGGUGGUACCGUGUGCGAUUGCCCAGUAAGCGCGCGGGCCCUGGACCCUCCGAGCGGGGAGAGGCGAGGAGUGUGCGAGGGGAGGGGUGCCGACACGUUCGGACCCCCCCCUGGCGCGCCUCCCCUCACAUCCCCCGCCGAGGACAGGCGCCCUCCCCGCGUGGACCGGCCGUGCGCGUGCCGCCCGCCUCCGCUGCGUGUGCCAGAGGGGCGUGUUCCCGCCCUCCCCCUUGUCCCCUCGCGCCUCGUCCCCUCCGUUGGGCUUCAGGAUUGGCAAACAGGCAAGCACGUGCAACAUUCUGCUGUGAUGGGCUCGGAGUGCCGUGCGGUGGCGACACCCCGCGGCUGACCAAGCGGGCCUUGGGGUGGUGGAGCCCCUGAGGAGUUCUCGUUUCCUCCUGAUGCAGACCCAUGUGGGCUAUCGAUUGGCAUGACAGAUGGUGGUGUAAGUCCUCCGCUCAGCAAGGCAGUGCGGUCUCCGCGCUGAUGGUGUUCCCAAGGCGAAGCGAGAGAGGCGACCCUCGAGAGAGCGAGGGGAAACAAAAAACCGCAGGUGUGGGUGCGCCCCCGUYGGCGUGCCCCUCCGACCCUCAUUAUCCGGCCGUGGUGGCCACCAGGYUCCAAUGAACGGCCCGCGGGACCCUGUGCUCCAGGACCCUGGUCCUCGUACUGUAUCACCGCAGCCGGUCUCCUCGACUAGACGUCGCUUGUCCACGGAUGAAAUGCAGCUAAGGGAAGUCGGCAAACUGGCUGCGCACCUUCGGAAGAUGCAGUGGCUCCAGAGGCCAGGCCGCAGGGCCCGGUCGGGAGCGGUGGGUGUGCGUCGGGUCGGACCCCCUGACCCGGUGGUGUGGUCGGGACGUCGGCGUCUUCGGGCGCCGUCGGACCGGCCCCCCCGGGACGGGGCAAGUUCGCCCGCCGCCCCCGCCGUCCCUCCGCGGCCGGGGGACACCGGCCCUCCCUCGUGGGGGGUCGGGGCCCGUCCCUGCGGCCACCCAGUGGCUCACGUGGAACUGUUGCCGUGCAGGGGAAUCUGACUGUUUAAUUGAAACACAGCUUUGUGACGGGACCAGCUGGCUGGUGCCAUGAGGUGACUUCUGCCCAGUGCUCUGAUUGUCAAUGCGAAGAGAUUCAGCCAAGCGCGGGUAAACGGCGGGAGUAACUAUGACUCUCUUAAGGUAGCCAAAUGCCUCGUCAACCAAUUAUUGACGCGCAUGAAUGGAUCAACGAGAUUCCUGCUGUCCCUAGCCGCUGUCUGGUGAACCAACAACCAAGGGAACGGGCUUGGAUGUGUCAGCGGGGAAAGAAGAGCCUGUUGAGA
rnacentral:rRNA from 1 species